GGGGGGGGGGUGGACAUGCCGACCUUCUCUGCUCAACAGUGCACUUUUCUAUUUGGUGCUGCAGACAAAUAGGUUAUGGGAAACUUCUCAACCCCUCCUCUCUCUCUCCCCCUCUCACUGGCUCUCGCUUAUACGGUAGCUGUCGUUCUCGUGCGCUUGGACUGUGCUCUUGUGAGAAUCAGAGCCGCUGAGGCACGCGUAAUCAACUGCGUAUUAGCGGCAAUUUUAAACCGAAAGCAGCCUGUGCACGCCGGCUUCAUACCUACAGCAGGAGAUGCAUCUGGUCACGUCGACUUCGGCAUAAUUAUAAAAAACCUUUGCUCAAUGAUGCUUCCGAUGAGGUGCGUUGCUCUUUGAUGUGAAAAAGGAAGGUUGCGAGAGCUCUCUCCAGCACAUGCCACCCUCAUUAGUGUCCAGCAGCUGAAGACGCGAGGUCACAAACCCAAUGAGUUGCACAUUUCAUUCAGCUUUGCCGACAUGGAAAGAUGACCACUGUGACCUAAUGUUCGGUGCGGUCUGACAGCACAUUGUGUGCAUCAUACGAAGUGGCUUGAAUAACCCUUGAACCUUGUGUGGAGUGCAUUAUUUUUUAUGAAAUUGCCAACUUUUCAACAUUCUUGUAGAUUUUAUUCAUUCAAUAAAUUGUGCAUUUUUCUAAAAAAGGGAA
ensembl:lncRNA